rnacentral:lncRNA from 1 species
UCAGAGUCGUAUACUUUGGUCCAUCUCAGUGCUUUCGGGAUGCAUGGCGAACUUUGAGCUAUGGGACUCUGUCAUAAUGUCCCUCUUUAACUCACUGUCACCUGGAACACACACCCUGUCUUGGAAUCUGAGCAACCCAUCGGUGGAGACUCGAAAUUUUGAGUUAACUCCCUAUUCUGCAUCUUUCUUGAGGACAGCUAGGGUGGAAUGGGUGGACUGAGCUUUCCUUAUUCUUUGGAUUAACUCAGACUGAACAGUCAGAUGGCCCAAACAUGUGACUCUCCUCAAGUCCUAAAGUUGUACCUAUUGUGCAGCCCCUAUUUGUCUGCUUUCUGAAACCAUCAAAUGGGCUAAUGUACCUGCACUUUUCUUGCUGAGUGCGUCGACUACCACUUUGCCCUUACCCGAGUGAUACAAGAUGUCGCAAUCAUAGUCCUUGAGAAGUUUAUCCAUCUUCUCUGUGCAUGUUGAGAUCCUUUUGAGUGAAUAUGUGUUUCAAAUUCUUGUGAUCGGUAUAGAUCUAAAAGGUCUCCCCAUACAAAUAAUGGUGCCAAGUCUUUAAGAUGUGUAUGAUUGCGACAAGCUCUAGGUCAUGGGUGGGAUAGUUUUUUUCAUGACUCUUUAACUGUCUAGAUCCAUAGGCUAUGACCUUCCCAUGCUGCAUCAAAACACAACACAGACCUAGGUAGAAGGCAUCACUAUAAACUGUAUAUCUACCUGAUCCUCUCGGCAAGGCCAACACAGGUGCAGUAGUUAGCUGCUUCUUUAGUUUCGAAAAACUUCUUUUACAGUUCUCGUUCUACUCAAACUUGACAUUAUUAUUUGUGAGCCGAGUCAGAGGAGCAACUAAACUAGAAAACCCUUCCACAAACCUGUGGUAAUAACCCACCAUCCUUAGAAAACUACAAAUCUCCUUAACUGAUGUCAAUUUUUUCCAACCGAGCACUAUUUCAACCUUUUCGGGGUUCACUGACACUCCAUCCUUUGAUAUGAUGUGUCCUAGGAAGGUAGUAUGUUCAAACCAGAACCUGCAUUUACUCAACUUUGUAUACAACUUCUUUUCUCUGAGAACCUAUAAAACUUGAGCUAGAUGGUGAGCAUGUUCUUCUCUGCUUUUUGAAUAAACCAAGAUGUCAUCGAUGAGCACAAUAAUAAACUGAUCCAGACCCUGUUCAUCAAGUCUAUGAAGAUGGCUGGAGCGUUGGUUAGUCCAAAUAGCAUGAUUAGGAACUCAUAGUGUCCGUACUUGGUUCGAAAGGCUAUCUUGGGGAUGUUUCCUGUCUUGAUUUUUACCUGAUGGUAACUUGAAUGCAGGUCUAUUUUGGAGAAGACCUGGGCACCCUACAACUGAUCGAAGAGGUCAUCAAUCUUGGGGAGGGGAUACAUUUUCUUUAUUGUAACUCUGUUCAGACCUCUGUAAUUAGUACAUAACCUCAAUAUCCCAUCUCCCUUUCUGGCAAAGGUGACUCCAGCACCUCAAGGGGCUAUGUCAGAUAAACCCAUCAUCUUGCAAUUCAGUGAUUUGUUUCCUCAGUUCCUCUAUCCCAAUACGGCUCAUGCGGUAAGGAGCAACCGAAAUGGGCUGGGUGUCUGGCUGAAGGUCUAUGGUAUAUUCGACUUCUCUAUACACUACAAGUCCGGAUAGUUCAUCCGGAAAACAUCUUAGAAGUCUCGGACUACUGGAAUCUCUUGAAUACAAAUCUCUUUCUUGUGUUUGCCUAGUUAGAGAAAACAGGAGGGUUAAAGUACUCGAUAAUAAGAAAAUUUACCGUGAGGGAAUAAAUGCUAAAUGAUUUUUAUUAAUUUAUAAAUAGCUCCUCAUUAGGAGGAUUAAAUACAACCUUCUUGAUAAAAUAAUCUAGGGUGGCGUGAUAUGCUGCUAGCCAGUUCAUUCCUAGAAUUACAUCAAAGUCUCCCAUGUCAAAUUCUAUUAGGUCCACACUCAAUUUCCAAUCUGCUAUAUCUAUGAUACAGGCUCUGUAUACAACUUCUCUCAAUAGUGUCAUACUCCCAAUAGUAGACACAAACAACACAAAAUCAAGUUUAUCAGGUAAUACAUUAAGUUUUGAUGUAAAAAUAGGUGAAACAAAUGAAUGCGAUGCACCAGUAUCAAUUAAAACAUGAACAAGAUGGUUACAGAUAGUGUACGUACCCUGUACCACAUCCAAGUUGGCUUCUACAUCCUGUUGGGUAAGAUUUUAUGCUCUGCUCUGGAUAGGAGGUCUGGCUUAAUUCUGGUUCCUCGGGCACUCCCUUGCAUAAUAUUGGGCACUACCAUAUAUGCAACAGGUAUUGUUUAGGCAAUAGCAGGGUCAGUUCCCAUGAUCCCUGCCACUAGAGCCUGAGGGAGAGCCUAGAUCAUCGGCCUAAGCCUCUUGUUCUGUUAAACAUACACAGUAGGUGCUGGUCUGCAGGGUGGAGCUAAGGGUCUAAGGUUCCCUGCUUCCUGAGAGAAGGUGCGAAAGCUCCUCUCCACUAAUUGUGCCUUGGCCAGAAUAACCGAAUAGGUCUUGAGCUCCAGCACAAACAACUACUGUCUGCUAUUUAGGCGAAGACCCCAUUCGAACCUUCUAGCCUUCCUGCCUUCACCUACCUAUGUCUAAGGGGAAUAUCGGCCCAACUCUAGAAACUUGCGAGCAUAUUUUGACACAGUUAUGUUCCUCUGGACCAACUGUACAAACUCCAUCUCCUUCAAAUGUCGGAGAUGCUCUGGAAGGUACUCUGCCUGAAAGGCUGCCAGGAACUAUUCCCAAGUAACUGGAACAGGCAGGGUAGUCUGUUUGAGUUCCCACCAAUGACCUGUUUCUCCCACUAGCAUGUAGGUGGUAAGGGUGACUUUCUGCUCGGGAGUCAUUCCCAAGGUCUUAAAGGCCUUCUCUAUCUCUUCUAACCAGUACUCGUCAUCUUCAAAAGUGGAUCCCCCUGCAAAAGUAGAUGGAUUUAAUCUUUUAUACCUCUCUAAGUAGUUUGGGUUCAUCAUGGGAGGAGUUGGGUCCCUUGGAAGAGGGACUGGGCCAUGCUGAGGAUGGGCUGGGUGGCCUUGUGGUGGUACUUGCUGAUAUAGUGGGGGCACUGAAUUGUACUGUGGUGGUGCCGGGUGGUACUGUGGCUAGGGCACUAGAUCAUACUGUGGUGGCGUCAGAUGGUACUGUGGAGGAAUAGGGUCGUACCGGGGUGGCUCGGGAUCCUCUCGCUGCAGGGGUGGCUCAACUUGUGGCGUAGGAGAGGGUCAAGUAGCUCCCUCCUUUCUUCAUGGCCAUGCUGGGCGACAAUGAGUCUCUCCAGCAUCUCAAAUAUCCGGUCAACAUCUUCUCUAAGCGAACCAUCCUGGGCUGCUCGAUUUAGUGGGGGUCUUCCUCCCCUUAUCUAUUUGUACUUGCAUUUCACAAGGGAAGGUUGAGUGAUGAUCUAUUGUUUUGUUGUUCCCUAAGGUAUUUAUGUAAGGAAUGGGUCCGAGGAAUGCGGCUCUACCAACUGUAACGACUCCGAAAAUAUCUAAAGAAAAUAAAAGAUAAUUAAAGUACGAAAGCGUAAUAAAUGUUCGGGGUUUACAUUCCUUACACAAAUAACUGAAAGUACGAAAGAGUGUUACAGAAUUCACCCUUUUGAAAGAAACACAAGAAAUAAAGAAAUAAACAGAAAAUAAAGAAAUCUAGCAUCUACUCGCAAUCCUCUUACGGAUCGGGCUUUGGAACCUAGUCAUCUUGAUCUGAAAUGGUUAAAUAAGGGAUAAGCUAUACUAGCCCAGUAAGAUAUCACACUAUAUCACUGACACAGAAGUAAAUGUUAAUAGAAAAUAAAAAAAAAACACUAGUGGAGCACUAAAUUUAGCAAACUCAUUUAUUAAUUAUAAAAAUUAUUUACUGUUCAUUUAUCGUAGUAGGAUUUAUAAAAACGAUUUAUACAGACAAUAAUAUUAUACAUAUCAUGAUUUCAUGUAUAAUCAGCAAUCAUAGCACAUAUUAUAAAUCUAUAUCCAUCAUCAAUAAAUCAAACAAUAACUGUCACUCUUUUUACCAGCCUACUGGUAUCUAUAGUGGUUCAUAAGGAUGUCCCCGCUACACGUAAACACUUUCAUUUAACAUUCUCAAUUAUGAGCCACCCCUAUACCCCGUCUGGUAUGAGUGCCAAUUUACCAAACCUCAAUACCGCAUCCGCUAUGAGGAUGAAGCGGGUCGUCCCCAUAUCCUGUCUGGUAUGAGCGCCAAAUUAUCAAGUCUUCAUAUCCCGUCCGGUAUGAGACAACGUUCACGGUAGGGUUCCCUAUGUCCCCAGUCCGUCCACCAUCUCCUAGGAUAUCCAGUAAGGUUGUCGUUUCAUCUAUUCAUUUCAUCACACAAUUUUUACCGUUUAACAUUCAUUUUUCCAAAUUCAGCAAUAAACACAGAAUAAACCAUACAUGCAUUCAAAGCCAUAAAAUCAAUAAAUAAGUAACUAACAUGCAUUUGAAUUGUAAAAUAAUUUACAAAGCAACAGUAGAGAAUUUUUGGUUCUGGCUCCAUUAGCAAUCCAUAAUUAAUUAUGCACAUUUUUUAAAUUCACACAAAUAUUGUAUUAUUAUUUAUUUAGACUUCAGUUCUAUGAUAGAGAAUAGGGUGAGGGAUCCUUACUCGAUUUGAUGUCUAAAAAGCUAAGCUGUUCAACUGCGCCUACGGGCGAUUUUCGGGUUCCCUGAAUUUUUCUUUGGGAAUUGAAACGCACUAAUAGUACCUAUAAAUGUCCCAAACAAACCCAAAAUCAGUCUCAGGGCCCACUUGGCCAAUUUUGAAAUUCCGGCACGGCGGCUCCGCCAUGCUCCAGCGAUGGCCCACCACUUGCGAUGACGAUCUGCAUCGAGUCGGCUGUUUUCAGCUGUUUUUGGCAAAAUUCGACUGAUUCUGCAUCGAUCCCUACGAAAAAACAUGUUAAAAGACCUCGGUUUGGUGAGAAAAUAAAAAAAAAACAAAAACUCGCCAACGGCGGGGGUCUCCGGUGUGGUAGCUCCUCCGGCUCACGUUGUGGUUGGGUGUUUUGCUCUAGUCAACCUGCAGAGAAGGACACAAUGAUCACAACGGUGGAAAACUUACACAGAACGAGAAAUAGGAAAGGCCUCAUCGGAGGCAUUUAUUGAAAUUUCCUGCGACGGUGCCGCCGGGCUUCGCGGCAUUUUUUGGCCAAUUGGCCGGUCUUUUUGCUCCAAUUUGGCCAUGGGUGUGCUUAAAAUUGAAUUUCGAGCAAAAAAAAAAUUUACCUUUUUUGGCGAUCGAAAAAAGGUCCGAAGCAGCCGCGGGUAGUGGCGGUCUCCUUCUUGGCAGCCAGGUCUUCUUCUCCGCCGAGGGGUUCUAGCAGCUAGGGUUAGGAUUUGGUGCGAAUGGGGGUUAUGUAUAUCCAUCCACUUUUGAUCUUGCCAGUCCAUCGAGUUUAAUUUGGACCGCCCGAUAACGAUUAAAUAGGGAGUGAAUCUGGGUCGUUCAUCGCGAUCCAAUCUGGGCUGUCCAUCGCGAUCUAAUCUUGGCCUUCUGAUUGCAUUCAGAUCUGGCCAUCUGAUCGUAUUUGGUGAGGAAAUGCAUUUAAGCCGUCCGUGUGCACAGGAAUGGAUUUGGGUCGUUCGAUCGCGGGCACGUGGAUCGACCGCGUGGCCUCCUGCAUGGCACCGCAUCAGCAUCUGCUAUCACGCAAUGCGUCUUGAUUGAUUAAAGUUGUUGACCGGGCGUCCCACGUGGCAGAACUUUUCUAAAUUGUAGUUUGAUCCCUGGUUUUCGAUUCUUCUUUCAAAAAUGCCCCUAGAACUCAAAUUUUUACCCCUUUUUUCCAAAAUUAUUUUUAAUUUCAUCCUCCUUUAAUUUUUAUUUCAUUUUUACCCUAAAUUAAAUUAAAAAUAAAUUAAAAAUUUAUAUUUAUUAAUUUUAAAUUACAUAAAAUUUUAUUUUGGGGUGUUACAUAAGCCCUAAACGCAAAAAUUCUAUUCAUUUAGGUCCCUUGCGAGUUUUUAAAAUUGAAAAAUAGUUCAAAAUGACAUAUAGAGCACAGGGUGGAUAUUGAGCACGUAUUUUUGCUCCAACAUCCCCUACUAAGGAAAGAUAAACUUAUAUCCGUUUGACAUCUUUACCAGUCAUUUAUACCAUGACUAAAAGUUUUUACUUGCUGCUCGCUCCAAUUAUUUGUAAACAUAUGUUUCUCAUAACAUAUUCAAAUAAAUAACUAAAACUUAAUUAGAAAAUCUUAAGUACAAAUUAAAACACAAUGUAUUUUAAGAUAACGUAAAAAAAAAUACUCUACUCAAUAACAAAUAUAAAAUAAAUACUACAAAAAAUAAAAAUUAAACAUUUAAAUAAUUAGAAAAUUAAAUAAUUUUAAUUCUAAUAAAUUGUUCAAUUUUAAAUAUAAGAAUAUAGAUAUGAAAUAUUUAAACUAUUCAUUCAUUUCCUCAAUUAAUCGUAUACAUAUGUCAUUUAAUUUGAGGUGGGUUAGGUAGGGAUAUGACAUAAUGUCAUUUGAUUCAGACUCACUCCACACUUGUUUUGGGUUUAUAACUUCCUAUAUGUAUCCGUCUUGUAACCAUUAAUUAUAGGUUUUCACUAGACGACCUUAAUUAUUCUAAGUUCAUAAGCAUAUACUUAUAUACCUUCAAUUGUUAAUAAUUGUCAGACAUCUAGUCAGUUUGUAAUAUUAGUAUCAUCUAUAUAUCUUGAUGACCAUUCAUUACGAGUAGAAAAUCUGUAACAAUUUUUUUCCCCAUUAAAUGUUUUAAAAAAUAAAAUAUAUUCUCACUUUUUAAAGAUAUAUGCGUUGCAUUAACAUUUAAAAUACAAGUACCAAUUUGAAUUAUAAAACCUGAGGAGAUUUUUUACCAAAAAAAGAAUAAAUUCUUCUUUAUGUAUGGAUGUAAUAACACUUUAAAUUAGGUUAUUAGAUAGGUUAAUAACAUUUUAUCUUUUAUACCUAUAUAAAGGGGGCCUCGUCUUCUUGCCCACAAACCCCUUGACAAACAAGGUGAAGAUUACUAGUAAUAGGUCGUUCCUAAUUCUUUUACUCUCAAUCAAAGAUGUCUCUGUCUCCAUCUCAACAAGAAUUUCACGAUACGCUUUCUAAAAUUGAAAGUGAAAUCGGCACUGGCAACGUUGUUACAGAAGUUAACGAGGUAUAAGUUUCUCUGACGAAACUCCCUUACACUUUCAUAGUUUUUCGAUUUGAUUCAUUCCCCUUAUGAUUAAUUAAUCAUUUUCUCCUUUUAAUACAUGAAUUGGUCGAUGUGGUUGGUCUAAAGAGAUCAUGCCUUAGGGUUUAAUUAAACUUCAAAUUCCCUUUGUUUGAUAAAUUCUCUUUGAUUUUCCUAUAAUUUUCCUACUCCAUUAACUUCUUGUUAAGUUGAUUAUGUGGUAAUUCCUUUAUGGUUAAGAAUUGGGCAGUUUGAAUUGACCAAACCAACCUGAGCCAAUUCUCUAAAACUCGCCCUAGUUAUUUCGCCCAAAAGAUCCAAGGCAUGUAGGAUCUUAAUAUCUAUCUAUUUUUAUCUUAAAGCACGUCGAGACGUCUUCUGUUGUGAUAUUAAAAGCUCAUCUAAACUCCAAAUAGUCAUAUAUAAUAUAUUUUUAAUUUUAAUAAGAAAUGUAAUAUAUAUGUUAAUUUGGUGCAUAUACAAUAUUUUAUGUUAAUUAAAUAUAUAUAUUUUUUACUUUACUUAUGUAUGAUCCAUAUUGAGUCUAGUUUAGUUUUAUCAAUAACCCAAUUAGGCCAAAAAUAAAAUUAAUUUUUAAAACUUACUUCGACUUGUUUGGGUUUACAAUUCUUUUAAAAUUAGAUUAGGUUCGAAUUUUGCGAAAUUCGCCCCAAACUCGAUCUAUUGCAGUCCUUAUUUCUGUUUUUGUCUUGAAUAAAAUUAUGGACAAAUUAGAAUUUCGAAAUCCAUAGCAUGACCCAACUAUAAUUCAAAACUAUUGUAAUUCCUUUUAUAACUGUUUCAUUUCUCUAUUGAUCGUGCAUUAUUUUAUAUAAAAUAAUUAGUUUCUUAGGUUUUUAUACUUUAUUUUUCCCUAAUUUUGAUUUAUUUAACAUUAAAAUUUCAUGUAUUCUGGUUUAGAGGACCAAACACAAAAAAAAUUCUUAUUAGAAUAUAUAUGAUUUGAAUUACAACAAGACUAGAUCACAAUGGUUAAAAAUAUAAUUUGCUUUAAAACUAUUUAUGAAGAUCUAUAACCAAGAUCUUUAAUUUGCUUCUAUUACUUUUCAUAUGUCUCUAUAUCAUUCAUUGCAUUUUAUAUUUAAAUGAUUUCUCAUCUUUACUUGAUUUUUCCUAUUUUUGUUUGAAUGAGUUUUGUUUUGACAUAAUCUUACUAAUGAUGUUACCUUUGUCCUAACCAAUAAGCCUUGCCACAAGGUGUGUCUUUAACUUUCUUCUCACCCAAGAUUGCAAACUAGUUUGUCAUUUUGGAAUAAUUAUGCCUCUUAAUAUAGAGACAGAAAAUGGGAUUACAAACUUCACUUGAACAGUCAUGUUAUUACAAGUCUUAAGUUGUUAAGGAAUUUCUCCAAGAGACAUUAAAAUUCAUAUGUACUUUCACUAUAAGGUUUAAAAACUAAAUGUUAACAUAGGUUACAUUUAAUAGAGUAAUAUAAUAACUAAAAUCUUUUGAAAAAAAUAGCUCUAUAUUCAUAUUGUUUCGAUCUAAACGCAUUACAAGUGAUCUAAAUAGAAAGAGAAGCUAGCAGAUAGAGGUACAAAGAACAUUGCAAGUGAAGAGGCUGUUGAUGAUCAUCAACCUUUGAAGCAUGAUUUUGAUCUAAAUGCAUUACCCCCAGAAGCAACAAAUGAAGAAGAGGUGAGUUGUUAUAUUUCAUUUCACUAACAAACAACAGUGAUUCACAUAACACUAAGAGAAGUCUCUCCUUCAGGUUGACGUUUUUUCUCCUUUAAAACAAUUAAGCUUUAAUUAUAUUUUAUCUACUUUUCGCAUUAUAUUUAAUUCACUUCUAUUGUAUUAAUAUUCAAUUUCUCUAUCAGUAUUAAAAUUUUGUCAUGAUUUUACAUGUUUUGCUCAUAAUUUUAACAAUAAAGUAGAACUUUUCACAAUUUUUAUUGGAUGAAUUUAUAGCAAAUUUAGUUUUAGUAUUUUAUGAGGUGAAUUCAUUUAAUGAGUCAUUAAUUUAAAGAAAGAAAAAGAAUUCUUAAUUUAUGUUUCACCUAGUAAGUCCCUUUACUAAUUAUUAAAAGUUGUAUAAUUAAUUAGGUUAAGUUUUAAACUUGUAGGUGCAGGAGGUUGGUAAUAAAGUGGUUCUUCAACCUGUGGAAGAAGAAUUACAUCCUAUAGUGCAGGAGGUUGAUAACUAAGUGGCUGUUCAACCUGUGGAAGAAGAAUUACAUCCUAUAGUGCAGGAGUUUGGUAACGAAAUGGCUGCUUAGAAUUAGUUGCCAAUCAAAUUAUUUACAAUAAUUACACAAUUAAAUAAUUACUAAAUUAAUUCCUCUAAUAUGUUUUGGGUUGUCAUAUUUAAAAUAUGUGGUUUAUCUUAGAUUGUUUCAAUGUUUUUAGUUUAAAUAUUAAGUCAUGCUAUGAGAUAUCAAGUUUAAAGGAUCUAAAUCAUCUCAUUCUUAUUACUUCUCAGCUUCGACAUGAAUGGCCUUGAAUUUUUAUAUUUUAUUACGUGAUAGUUUUAUCUAUUAUUUAGUAUGCCUAAACAGUAUUGUAGUUAUUAGGACUUGAACCACACAGUAAAAUUUAGAGUCCCAAAUCUAUCGUUUUAUUUUUAUUUUAAUAAUUAUUCUACUUUUAAUUUAUAUUAUCUCAUUUUAAAUGAAAUAAUUCUAUUUUUAUUAUAAUAAAAGAGAUAUAUAUUUCAAAAUUCUUUGUGUUAUUCAAGAUUGCUCAAAUUGGCUCAUGUAACAUUUUUAUGUUAAUGUACAAUCUAUACUUCUAAAUUUUGUUCAAAUAGGCACUUAUUACCAACAUUGUGUCUAACACUAUUAGACAAAUACUCACGUGACAAAGAAUGUGUUACAUGAGCUUCAGACUUUGAAAACAUUGCUAUCAUGGAAGACAUGUGUCCAACAAACUAGUAACCACUUACACGUUAUUAACUAUCAAACGAAAAAUAAGCUAUUAAAAUAUCGUACGGAAUUGAAAAUAAUGGUUUGAUUUCUAAUGAAUAAAGGUGAUGUGUAUAUAGAUGUAUAAUCAUAAUAAACAACUAGUCAAAUAUUUUAAUUAUAAUAAAUCACCUGCUUCGUAGUGUAGACUAAUUAUUUAAAUAUAAUUUACAUAUGUAUUUUAAGAAUAUAAUUGUUAGACGAGUAUUUGAUUAUGACAUUCAUUUAAAUGAAAAAAAUUAAUAGUUAAUGUUCACAACAUGAAUGAUAAUCAAUGCAACAUGUUCCAUCUAUGAAUGAAAGGCAAUAUUGGAAUAAAGAUGAGUUGCAUCAAUAUUAUCACAAUAGAUAACUAGAGUAGCAGGAAUAUAAAUGUCAAACUCAGUUAGAAGAGAAGAAAUCUAACGUAACUCAAUAAUUGUAGCAACAACAUAACGAUAUUCAGCUUCAGUGAAGGAUCUCGCAACCGUGCAUUAUUUUUUGGUGGACUAGGAUAUUAAAGAAAUUAAUUUAGUAAUUAUUUAAUUACAUAAAUUAAAUGUGCGAAUUGGGAUAGAAAAACUUGUAGAACCAGUAUGGAUAAUGUGAAGACCCAAGCCAUUACAUCAUCAAACACUACAUAAGGAGAGUGAAGUGAAAAAUUAUUCAAGUCUGCAGUGAUAUGGUAUAAUGCUCCAUUUUUAAGUAGCCUGGAGAAACAAGACAUGUUGCCAAUGGAGCCAAUGAUGAUUUAGUAUUUUUAAUGAUGCUAUGACUAGUGAAAGAUGUAGAGAUGUCUUCAAAAGCCAUUAUUGUUGAUAAAGAAUGUAGGGAAUUGAGAGAGAGAAAAAGGAGAAUAAAAGGAACAUAUCAGGAGUGUGGUAGCUCUGAUACCAUAUGGAAUUGAAAAUAAUAGUUUGAUUUCCAAUUAAUAAAGGUGAUGUAUAUAUGAAUGUGUAAUGAUAAUCAAUGGCUAGUCAAAUAUUUAAAUCUUAAUAAAUCACCUUAUUUUUGGAAUUUAUUUUUAAUCACCUAAUUUGUAGAAUUUACUGCCAAUUAAAUUAUUUAUAAUAAUUGCACAAUUAAAUAAUUACAAAAUUAAUUCUUCUAAUAAGUUUUGGGUUGUCAUAUUUAAUAUAGGUUAUUUAUCUUUGAUUGUUUCAAUGUUUUUAAAAAGCUUGAUGUUUGGACAAUUCAUAUUAGACUUUCUACAAUAAAAAAUUUUAAAUUCUAAAGAGAUUUAAAAUUUUAAAUCUAAUAUAAAACUAAAAUAGUAGAACUUAAAAUACAAAAACAAUUAAAAUUCAAUUAUAAGCAAAGUUUUGAAAAAGCACCUAGAAAAUGGAAGAAUAUAUUAAUAAAUGGAUUAUAAUUUUAUGUAUGGAAUAUAUAUUUUGCUUAAUUUUAUUCGUUUUUUUUAGUACGCUAGUAGGAUACACAGUGAAUCACCUAUAAAGGAUCUAAAUCGUAUAAAUUUUAUUAAUUCUCAACUUUGAUUAAAUGGCCUUGAAUUUUUAUAUUUUAUUACAUGUUAGCUUUAUCUUUUAUUUAGUUUCCCCAAACAGUAUUGUAGUCAUCAGGACAUGAACUACACAAUAACAUUUAUAUUUAUAUUUUUAAUUUAUAUUAUCUCAUUUUAAAUGAAAUAUUUCUAUUUGUAUUAUAAUAAAAGCGAUAUAUAUUUUAAAAUUCUUUGUAUUAUUCAAGCUAGCUCAAAUUGGCACAUGUAAUAUUUUUAUGUUAAUGUACAAUCUAUACUUCUAAAUUUUGUUCAAAUAGGUAUUAAUUACUAACAUUGUAUCUAACACUAUUAGACAAAUAAUCAAGUGGUAAAGAAUGUGUUUACAUGAGCAUCAUACUUUGAAAAUAUUACUAUCAUGACAGACAUGUGUCCAACACACUAGCAACCACUUACCCCUUUUUAACUAUCUAACAACAAAAAAGCUAUUAAAAUAAAAAAAAAAUUCUAGGCACUUUUUAAUUUUUUUAUGACAUUGUUUGAAAUCUAAGUUAUAACAAAUAAGCUUAGCUUAUUCUACUUAAAAAAACAUAUCUUAUUAAGGAGUGAUAUUACUAAUUUAUUCCUUAGUUUUUAGUUUAUUUAGAAAAGGGUGUCAUUAUGCAUUAUAGAUUAUUUCUCUGAAAAUCAUUCUCAAGAAAAACCCUUUUAUAACAAGUUGCAGUGCCUAGUUCAUCCUCACAAUGGCUCUUAAUCACUGCUAAGCGUUACAAGAGUUGUCAUUCGUGUUUUGGCUAAGAUCUGACAUCUCUUGAAACCAUACAACAACUUUAUUUCUGUGGAAAAUAUCAAGUAAAGGAGAAAAAAAUUUAAGCUGAGAAAUAAAGAAUACUCUAUAAGAAAUAGAGAUUGAUGAUAUGAAAAUUGCUUACAUUUUGUCACAACUAAAGUUUAUUUAUACACAUACAACCAGAAAUAGAUAAAGAUAGAGACUAGAAAUCUAUAAUCGAUUCUGUGCACUAAUUUGAAAUUAAUAAAAUCCACAAGAUCUCUUAAAAUCUAGAUAGGAUAACCUCAAAGAACAAACCUUAACUAGCAAUUUUUAAUUAACUAUUACGCUUCGAAGAUUUAAAAGGCAAACCUAAGAAGAAUAUAAGAUAUUUAGACAAUUGAAGAAACUGCAUCAAUUAUCAAUAACAUCAACGAUUACACUACCAUUUGUCAACCACCAACCAGCAUGUCUUCCACCUAUAUAGUAGUUAUUUUAACUUGUCCAAUAGUUAUUCUUAAGUAUGUAAACCAUCAUUAUAAUCUUCUAUUUAAACUCUUGCAACUCAAUGAAAAAGACAUGUGUGUUUUUGUUUUCAAAAUCAAGGUUAUUUUUGCCUUAAAGAGAAAUUGUCAUUUAAUUAAUUAAAGUUCUGACUGGGACCAUAACAAUUAGUAUUAGAGUCAUGUCUACAAUAAGAAAGGAUAGAAAACCUAGAAUUUAACAUGGGUGACGUACUAGAUAGCUUAAACAAAAUGUAGGUCAUCUUCACCGAUAAAUUUUAACAGUUUGAAGAUUCCAUCCGAUAAAUUGCUAACAUAUUAGUGUUGAACAGAGAGGGAUCAAGUAGCCAUAAUAUUGGUCACCUAGGCAAACAGCGAGCGCUCAAUGUUAUAACUAUAAAGGAUCCUUUUCUGAUCCUUACUGUUGAUGAUAUGUUGGAUGAACUACAUGGAGCUAUUUUUCUUUUUACUAAAUUAGAUUUGAAAGCAGGAUAUCAUCAAGUUGGAGUUCAUGCUGCUAAUGUGCACAAAACUACUUUUCGUACUCAUAAACAACAUUAUGAGUAUUUGGUGAUGCCUUUUGGCUUGUACAAUGCCCCUUCUACCUUUCAAGCAAUGAUGAAUUCCAUAUUCCAUAUCCAUCUUCGUAAGUUUGUGCUAGUUUUCUUUAAUGAUAUAUUAAUAUACAGUCAACCUUGUACUCUGCACCUUGAUCAUGUCCAACAGGUCUUUGAAAUUUUGAGACUAUAUUGUUUUUCUGUCAAACUCAAAAAGUGUGCCUUCGGGCAAUAGGAGCUUGAAUAUUUGGGUCAUAUUAUUACACUGAAUGGCGUUAAAAUUGACCAGAAUAAAAUCAAGGCCAUGCUUGAUUGGCCUAAGCCCACCAUUAUAACAGAAUUGAGAGGUUUCUUGGGAUUUACUGGAUACUAUAGAAAAUUUAUUCAAAAUUAUGGCAUUCUAGCUCGACCACUCACCAAUUUGUUAAAGAAAUGGCAAUUUACUUAGUCAGGUGAAGCAGAAUAAGCUUUUCUCAACCUCAAAUAGGCCUUAAUAUCAACUCAGAGUCUUGCAUUACCUAACUUUAAGGAAAAUUUUGUGGUGGAAACAAAUGCUUCAAGGGAUGGUAUUGGAGUUAUCUUGAUGCAGAAUGACCAACCUAAAGCUUAUAUGAGUCAACCUUUAGGAGUCAACAAAUAGGCUUGAUCUACUUAUGCUAAAAAAAUGCUAGCAGUUAUCAUGGCAGUUAACUCUACAGUCCUUAUUUGAUGGGUUAAAAAUUUUUCAUCAUAACUGAUAAGAGAAGCCUCAAAUAUCUUUUGGAUCAAUGUAUCACCACUCCUAAACAAUAGAAAUGGGACUUUAAAUUAUUUGGAUAUGACUAUGAAAUCAUCUAUAAACCUGGGAAGGAAAACUCUGCUGAUGAUGCACUUUUACGAAAAUCAGGUAGUCCUACAUUUAAUACUAUUUUAACUCAUAAGCUUCUGUUAUGGGAUAAUCUUUAGGUAUUUUAUCCUUAGAAUCCUUUUAUGAAGAAAAUUAUCAAGUUAGCAUCAGAUUCACCUGAUAGUCCUUAUACUUGGAAAGAUAGCCUUGUAUACUUCAAGAAUCGUGUGGUUAUUCGACUAAGUUCUAACAUAACUCAUCAAUUAUUACAAGGGUUUCAUAAUUCACCGAUUGAUGGUCAUUUAGGAAUUCAGAGAACAUUCAAGCAACUUGCUUAAUAACUUUAUUGGCCUUUGAUGCAUAAAUUUGUAACUGAAUAUGUCUCCUCCUGUGAUAUCUGUUAAUGGGUUAAUGCUGAUCCCCUUUCACUUGCUGUAUUGCAACCCUUGUCUAUCCCAUGUCAAGUGUGGGAAGAAAUUUCAAUGGAUUUCAUUGAAAGCUUACCUAUUUCUAAUGGUAAUAGUGUUAUUUUUGUGGUGGCCGACCAUCUCAAUAAGUCAGCUCACUUUAUGGCUUUCGCUCAUCCAUAUACCAAGACAAUGGCAAAACAAUUUAUGUAUAAUGUGGUUAAACUCCAUGGACCCUAAUCAACUGUUAGUGACCAAGAUCCCAUUUUUAUCAAUCGCUUGUAGCAGGAAUUCUUUAAAUUAUCUGGCACUUAGCUCAAAACCAGUUAUGCAUAUCAUCUUCAAACUAAUGGUCAAUCAAAAGUCAACCAAUGCAUUGAAUAAUAUCUUUACUACUUUGGUCACCAACAUCCUCGUCGAUGGAGCUCUUUACUUUCUUAGGCUGAAUUCUGGUACAACACCACUUAUCACUCUUCUAUUAAGAUGACGCCUUUUCAGGCCCUAUAUGGACGACUUCCACCCACUAUUCCACAUUUUCAUCCAGGCACAUCUCCUGUUAAUGAGGUUGACCAGUGACUUAUUUCUCAAGAUGAACUACUUCACCAGCUCAAGCUUAAUUUCCAAACUGUUUCCAACCACAUGCAAUAAGUUGUGAAUGUUAAGCGUUGUGACAUUGAAUUUUAGGAAGGUGAUUAGGUAUUCCUUAAACUACAACCUUAUUGUCAACAACAUAUUUUUAAAAGGGCUUUUCCAAAACUCGCAUGUCGCUAUAAUGGUCCUUACCAAAUUGUUGAAAGAAUUUACCUACACAUUCACGGAUUCAUUCGGUCUUCUAUUUCUCCCUCCUAUAUAAGAAAUUGAGCAUGUCCGACUCUCUGACUGAAGAACUACCCUUAAUUAAUGAUACUAGGGAUAUCAUUGUACAACCUUAGUUUAUCCUGUACAUUUCUUCGAUUAAGAAAGGCUCAUGUUUCAUGGAAGAAAGCCUAGUUAAAUGGAAGCAUCUACUUGAAGAAGAGGCUACUUGGGAGAGUACCACAGAAUUACCUGAUAAUUUUUCUACUUUGAACCUUGAGGACAAGGUUCAUUUAGGCAGGAGAGAUCUUGGAUCGUCCGAUCGCACUUCCGGCUGAAAGUGUUUCUCACAGUGCAAUCGGAUGGGAAUUCCCUCUGGUUGUCCAAUCACCCCUAAUAUGCACAAUGUUACCUUCGCCGUGUCCGUUUGUCUGCAACAUGGCACACACAGAUUGGUGCCCCGAACACAUGAGCUCCCUGCAUGUCCCAUUAUAACAUAAAUUGAAUAUAAACUGUAACGAUCCCUAAAAUAUCCAAAGGAAAUAAAAGAUAAUUAAAGUGCGGAAGCGUAAUAAAUGUUUAGGGUUUACAUUCCUUACACAAAUAAUUGAAAGUACUAAACAGUGUUACGAAAUUCACCCUUUUGAAAGAACCACAAGAAAUAAAGGAAUAAAUAAAAAAUAAAGAAAUCUAGCAUCUACUCGUAAUCCUCUUGCAGAUCGGGCUCUGGAACCUAGUCCUCUUGAUCUGAAAUAGUUAAAUAAGGGAUGAGUUACACUACCCCAGUAGGGAUAUCACACUAUAUUACCGACACAGAAGUAAAGGUUAGUAUAAAAUCAAAAAAACACUAAUGGAGCACUAAAUUUAGCAAACUCAUUUAUUAAUUAUAAAAAUCAUUUACCGUUCACUUACCAUAGUGAGAUUUAUAAAAAUGAUCUAUACAAACAAUAAUAUUAUAUAGAUCAUGAUUCCAUGUAUAAUCAGUAAUCAUAACACAUAUUAUAAAUCUUUAUCCAUCAUUAAUAAAUCAAACAAUAACUGUCACUUUUUUUACCAGCCUGCUGGCAUCCAUGGGAGCUCAUAAAGAUGUCCCUGCUACACGUGAACACUUUCAUUUAACAUUCUUAAUUACGGACCGUCCCCAUAUCUCGUCGGGUAUGAGCACCAAUUUACCAAACCUCAAUACCCCAUCUGGUAUGAGAGUGAAGCGGGCCAUCCCAAUACCCCGUCCAGUAUGAGCACCAAAUUAUCAAGUCUCUAUACCCCGUCUAGUAUGAGAUAACAUUCAUGGUAGGGUUCCCUAUGUUCCCGGUCCGUUCACUAUCUCCAAGGAUAUCCAGUGAGGCUACAAUUUUAUCUAUUCAUUUCAUCACACACUUUUUACCGUUUAACCUUCAUUUUUCCCGAUUCAGCAGUAAACACAUAGAAUAAACCAUACAUGCACUCAAAGCUAUAAAAUAAAUAAAUAAGGUACUAACAUGCAUUUGAACUGUAAAAUAAUCAACAAAAUAAUAGUAGAGAAUUUCCGGUUCUGGCUCCAUUAGCAAUCUGUAAUUAAUUAUGCACAUUUUCUAAAUUCAAACAAAUAUUGUAUUAUUAUUUAUUUAGACUUCAGUUCUAUGAUAGGGAAUAGGGUGAGGGAUCCUUACUCGAUUUGAUGUCCGAAAAGCUAAGCUAUUCGACUGCGCCUACGGGCGAUUCUCGGGUUCCCUGAAUUUUUCUUCAGGAAUUGAAACGCUCUAAUAGUACCUAUAAAUGUUCCAAACAAACCCAAACUCAAUCCCAGGGCACAUGUGGCCAGUUUUGGAAUUCCAGCAUGGCGACUCCGCCAUGCUCCAGCGACAGCACUGCCGCUCGAGGUGGCGGUCUGCCUCGGGUCAGCUAUUUUUGGCCGAUUCUGCAACGAUCCCUGUAAGAAAACACGUUAAAGGGUCUCAGUUGGCCGAAAAAAUGUAAAAAACCAAAACUCACCACCAGCAGGUAUGAGCACUAAUUUACCAAACCUCAAUACCCCAUCCGGUAUGAGGGUGAAGCGGGCCAUCCCCAUACCCCGUCUAGUAUGAGCGCCAAAUUAUCAAGUCUCCAUACCCCGUCUAGUAUGAGAUAACGUUCAUGGUAGGGUUCCCUAUGUUCCCGGUUCGUCCACUAUCUCCCAGGACAUCCAUUAAGGCUACCAUUUUAUCUAUUCACUUCAUCACACAAUUUUUACCGUUUAACCUUCAUUUUUUCCGAUUCAGUAGUAAACACAUAGAAUAAACUAUACAUGCAUUUAAAGCUAUAAAAUCAAUAAAUAAGGUACUAAAAUGCAUUUGAACUGUAAAACAAUCAACAAAGUAAUAGUAGAGAAUUUCCGGUUCUAGCUCCAUUAGCAAUCUGUAAUUAAUUAUGCACAUUUUCUAAAUUCAAACAAAUAUUGUAUUACUAUUUAUUUAGACUUCAGUUCUAUGAUAGGGAAUAGGGUGAGGGAUCCUUACUCGAUUUGAUGUCCGAAAAGCUAAGCUGUUCGACUGCGCCUACGGGCGAUUCUCGGGUUCCCUGAAUUUUUCUUCAAAAAAUGAAACGCUCUAAUAGUACCUACAAAUGUCCCAAACAAACCCAAAAUCAAUCCCAAAGUGCAUUUGGCAAAUUUUGGAAUUCCAGCAUGGCGACUCCACCAUGCUCCAAUGACGGCGCUACCGCUCGCAGUGGCGGUUCGCCUCGGGUCAGCUAUUUUCGGCCGAUUCUGCAACGAUCCCUGUAAGAAAAUACGUUAAAGGGUCUCAGUUGGCCGAAAAAAUGUAAAAAACCAAAACACACCACCAGUGGGUAUGAACACCAAUUUACCAAACCUCAAUACCCCAUCCGGUAUGAGGGUGAAGCGGACCAUCCCCAUACCCCGUCCAGUAUGAGUGCCAAAUUAUCAAGUCUCCAUACCCCAUCUAGUAUGAGAUAACGUUCAUAGUAGGGUUCCCUAUGUUCCCGAUCCGUCUACUAUCUCCAAAGAUAUCCAGUAAGGCUACCAUUUUAUCUAUUCAUUUCAUCACACAAUUUUUACCGUUUAACCUUCAUUUCUUUUGAUUUAGCAGUAAACACAUAGAAUAAACCAUACAUGCAUUCAAAGCUAUAAAAUCAAUAAAUAAGGUACUAACAUGCAUUUGAACUGUAAAAUAAUCAACAAAGUAAUAGUAGAAAAUUUUUGGUUCUAGAUCCAUUAGCAAUCUGUAAUUAAUUAUGCACAUUUUCUAAAUUCAAACAAAUAUUGUAUUAUUAUUUAUUUAGACUUCAGUUCUAUGAUAGGGAAUAGGGUGAGGGAUCCUUACUCGAUUUGAUGUCCGAAAAGCUAAGCUGUUCGACUGCGCCUACGGGCGAUUCUCGAGUUCCCUGAAUUUUUCUUCAAAAAUUGAAACGCUCUAAUAGUACCUACAAAUGUCCCAAACAAACCCAAAAUCAAUCCCAGAGCGCAUUUGACCAAUUUUGAAAUUUUAGCAUGGCCACUCUGCCAUGCUCCAGCGACGGCGCUGCCGCUCGCGGUGGCGGUCCGCCUCGGGUCAGCUAUUUUUGGCCGAAUUCAGCUGAUUCUGCAUUGAUCCCUGUAAGAAAACAUGUUAAAGGGCCUCAGUUGGCCAAAAAAAUGUAAAAAACCAAAACUCACCAGUGGUGGGGUUCUACGGUGCGGCAGCUCCUCCGGCUCACGUUGCGGUUGAGUGUUUUGCUCCAGUAAACCUGUAGAGAAGGACACGAUGAUCACAACGGUGGAAAAAUUAUAUAAAACGGGAAACAGGAAGGGCUUCAUCGGAGGCAUUUUGUGAAAUUUUCCACAGUAGUGCCGCUAGGCUUCACUAGCAUUUUUCGGCCAAUUAGUCAGUCUUUUUGCUCUGAUUUGGCCAUGGGUGUGCUUAAAAUUAAAUUUCAACCAAAAGAGAAAAUUUUUAUCUUUUUUGGCAGUCGGAAAAAGCUCUAGUGUGGCGGCGGGUGGCAACGGUCUCCUUCCCGACGGUCGGGUCUUCUUCUCUAGCGAGGGUUUCUAGUGGCUAAGGUUAGGGUUUGGUGCAAAUGGGGGUUAUUUAUAUUUGUCCGUUUUUUAUCUGGGCCAUCCAUCACGUUUGAUCUGAACCGUUCGAUCACGAUUAAAUAGGGAAUGAAUUUGUCUAAGAUUUUAAAUGGUCCAAUAAAUCGGGGAUUCAGUUUUCCCCUCUUGCCAAACCUACUAAUUCUCUUAAAAAGAGCGGCUUUAAGGAACACCCAAUUGCUUUUCUUAAAUUCUAAAUCCCUCCUCCGGGUAUCCGCGUAACUCUUCUGUUUGCUUAGAGCCAUCUGGGUGUUCUUUCUGAUCUUAACUCUUUUGGAUGUAGUCUCAUUUACCAGAUCUGGGCCGAAUAAUUUUCUAUCACCCACUUCUUCCUAACAAAUCGGUGAUUUGAAUGGGCGCCCAUAUAAUGCCUCAUACGGAGCCAUGCAAUACUCGUUUGGUAGCUGUUGUUGUAGGCGAACUCUAUCAGGGGUAGAUGGUCAUCCCAAUAGCCCCCAAAGUUAAGGACACAAGCUCAAAGCAUAUCCUCAAGUGUACGGAUUGUCCUUUCUGACUGUCCAUCGGUUUGAAGGUAGAAUGCAGUACUAAAGGACAAAUUCGUUCCCAUGGCUUGUUGAAAGCUAUACCAAAAUCGAGAAGUGAACUUGGGAUCCCUGUCGGACACUACUGUUACUAGCACUCCAUGUAAUCUGACUAUUUCCUGUAUAUACAUUCUUGCUAAUUUGUCUAAGGGAUCGGUCAUCCUGAUGACCAAGAAGUGAGAAGACUUGGUGAGCCAGUCGACAAUUAGCCAGAUGGCAUCAUGUCCUGAGCGUGCCUUAGGUAAUCCUAUCACGAAGUCCAUGGUGAUAUGUUCCCACUUCCACUCUGGGAUUGGUAAUGGCUGAAGUAGCCCACCUGGGGGUUGGUGCUCUGUCUUGACCUGCUGACAUACUAAACACUUAGAAAUAAAGUCAGUCAUAUCUUUUUACAUCCUGUUCCACCAAAAUCGAAGUCGUAUGCUUUGGUACAUCUUAAUGCUUUUGGGAUGCAUGGCGAACUUUGAGUUAUGGGCCUUUGUCAUAAUGUCCCUCUUUAACUCAUUGUCACUUGGAACACACACCCUGUCUUGGAAUCUGAGCAACCCAUCAGUAGAGACUCGAAAUUUUGAGUUAACUCCCUAUUCUGCAUCUUUUUUUAGGGCAGCUAUGGUGGAAUGGGUGGACUGAGCUUCCCUUAUUCUUUGGAUUAACUCAGGCUAAACAGUCAGAUGGCCCAAACAAAUGACUCUCCUCAAGUGCUAAAGUCGAACCUGUUGUGUGACCCCUAUUUCUCUACUUUCUAAAACCAUCAAAUGGGCUAAUGUACCUGCACUUUUCUUACUGAGUGCGUCGACUACCACUUUGCCCUUACCCGGGUGAUACAAGAUGUCGCAAUCAUAGUCCUUGAGAAGUUUAUCCAUCUU